rnacentral:rRNA from 1 species
UACGAAGGGGGCUAGCGUUGCUCGGAAUCACUGGGCGUAAAGGGUGCGUAGGCGGGUCUUUAAGUCAGGGGUGAAAUCCUGGAGCUCAACUCCAGAACUGCCUUUGAUACUGAGGAUCUUGAGUUCGGGAGAGGUGAGUGGAACUGCGAGUGUAGAGGUGAAAUUCGUAGAUAUUCGCAAGAACACCAGUGGCGAAGGCGGCUCACUGGCCCGAUACUGACGCUGAGGCACGAAAAGCGUGGGGGAGCAAACAGGGGAAUUAAGAAAACCCCGUAGUCCCCAGGAACC